UACGAAGGGGGCUAGCGUUGUUCGGAAUUACUGGGCGUAAAGCGCGUGUAGGCGGGUCCUUAAGUCAGGGUUGAAAUGCCAAGGCUCAACCUUGGAACUGCCUUUGAUACUGGGGAUCUUGAGUCCGGGAGAGGUGAGUGGAACUGCGAGUGUAGAGGUGAAAUUCGUAGAUAUUCGCAAGAACACCAGUGGCGAAGGCGGCUCACUGGCCCGGAACUGACGCUGAGACGCGAAAGCGUGGGGAGCAAACAGG
rnacentral:rRNA from 1 species